CCUGACUAACUUUCUCCAUUCAGAACAUGUAACGACUACUGAAAAAAAGAGAAGACUCUAGAUUUAGAGAGAUGGAGUACAUAAAGGGUCCCCCUGUGUCACAGGAGAUCUACCUGUAAAAGGAACUCUCGAAACUGGUCAAUGUAAGGAAGCUGUUUAGUGGAAGUCCAUGACAGUUCUCAGUGACAUCAUCAUUAGGCCCUCCAUGAAAAAUCUCUUGUAUCCUGGAGAGCCCUAGCUUCUCUUGUGGUGUCACAAGUGUUGCCAUGCCUGCAAAUGCCUCUCAGAUAUUCCUUCCAAUAGGGUUUAAUAAUUGGCCUCUAGUUCAGAGGAAACAUCAAUUUGGGAGUGAGAACAAUGAAUAUGAAAAACUCGGAGAUGGGGAGAAUGAAGAUGGCCUUCUGUCUUGGUAUUAAAAAAAAGGAAGAAAUAUGUCGACCCUGGGAAAUCUCAUUGCGUUCUUGGUAGGAGUUGAGUAGGAUUUGCAUAUUGGCCUCUAAUUCAGUGUAAACAACCAUUUUGGAGGGAGAACAAAGAGGAUGAAGAAAUCAGAGAUGGGGAGAAGGAACCUGGCCUUCUAUCUUGGUAUAAAAGAAGAAGAAAUAUGUGGUCCAUAGGAAAUCUCAGUGAGUGUAGGGGUUGAAUGGAAUUGCUGAAGAGAUAGACUAGACCUGAUCCUUCCACAAAUGGAAAUAAAGAGAUUGGAGCUUCUC